CGCCGCAACAAGUGCGAGUGGUGUCACGCCAUUAGCAGCGUUCAUACAGCUAUGCGUGAAAUCUCUGACAGAGAAGGCUGGCCAGAUGUAUUCCGUUUCCGCCAAUCAUCCGUCAUAUCUUACGGUUCCAUCGCCGAAGGCUCCAAAUAACUAUUCGCACCGGUGAUAUGAACUUGGUGUAGUAACCGCUAAUGAAAUAUGAUCCUCUUCUUCAUAUUUCUACGGGAUUCUUUUCAUUUCGCCAUUGUCAUGGAAAACUGGUACGAUAUAAGAUCCUUCACAUCCGCAGGCGAUCCGUUGUAAAUUUAUAAUGGCGACGUUGUUCUCGUUGAUCAAUUCACGUCGCAGCAGAGACUCUCUGUCAUUUCCUCCAACAAAAUAAGUCAGUAUUACCGAGUAGCCUAUUACCACGCGUUGCUAGAGACGGCCACCAGCUGGAUUCAGCGCUUCGAGUUCCUUGAACACUGGACGUCCAGCUUUGACGAAAUCAAUACGACUCUUUAUUUGGUCCAUCGGCCUAAAAACAACCAAACCAACCACCUCUGCGUUUAUCUGUCACACUUUUUUCGGUUGUUCAGCGUGCCACCGGUGUGACCCUUGUGCGGAGUAAAUGCCGAGAGAGGCGAGAAUAUGGAAUAGACUACUUGGCUGCUAAACCCGGAAUGGACGGUUGGCGAGCUAUUUAUCCGGCCUUGGAACGAGAUAGCAUUCUGAAGCAUCAUAGGCAUUCCGGUUCCCGGUUCAACCGUUCUGCAAGUCUUCCAGAUGAUCAAACUCCUUGUAGCCGCCACUAACAGAAUGGAAGGCGGCCAAGUCCUGAAGCGGGAUCCCACCUCUUUUGUCCUUUAGAAUUGCCUGCUGCUCUAAAUGGAAUUGAAUCCGCCGCCGUGGAACUCUGUCGACAUCGUCGUGCACAGUCAGGGCGUCAUCGACGUUCUCCUGGACAAGCACGACUUCUCGAAGAGUUUCAUUGACGGCAAAGAGAAGAUCACUGUCGAUCAGAUGCCCCUUUUCUCGCCCAUACCUUACGACGUCAAGAAGCGGCUCAUGUUGAUCAAAGUUCAGCUGACGUGGCUAUACUCAACGCAAGGAAUCAUUCAUUAACUAUCUAUAGAUAUGACUUGAGUCGUACUUGUUAUGCUUUGCGCGUUGAGCCAUUAAAUACAAUUGAAGUUUUUGGGUUUCAAA